AGGUCAAGCUAACAAGAGCUAACGGUGGAUACCUAGGCACGCAGAGGCGAAGAAGGACGUAGCGACCGACGAAACGCUCCGGGGAGUAGGAAGCAAGCAUUGAGCCGGAGAUCUCCGAAUGAGGAAACUCUAAUAUACGGUUCGUUGAAUACAUAGACGAACGCGAGCGAACCUGGCGAACUGAAACAUCUUAGUAGCCAGAGGAAAAGAAAGCAAAAGCGAUUCCCUAAGUAGCGGCGAGCGAAAGGGGACAAGCCUAAACCAGAUACUACGGUAACUGGGGUAGUGGGACGACCACAAGCGACUGAAGAAAUUAGACGAAGUAGCUGAAAACUACACCAGAGAAGGUAAAAGUCCUGUAGUCGAAAAUGGAAGCAGCGCGGUCGAAUCCCGAGUAGCAAGGGGCACGUGAAAUCCCUUGUGAAUCAGCGAGGACCAUCUCGUAAGGCUAAAUACUACUGCGUGACCGAUAGCGAAACAGUACCGCGAGGGAAAGGUGAAAAGAACCCCGGUAAGGGGAGUGAAAUAGAACAUGAAACCGUUAGCUUACAAGCAGUGGAAGGCUGAUUAAACGGCUGACCGCGUGCCUGUUGAAGAAUGAGCCGGCGACUUGCAGGCUGUGGCAGGUUAAGGUGAAUAAAACCGAAGCCAAAGUGAAAACGAGUCCGAAAAGGGCGAACUCGUCACAGUUUGCAGACCCGAACCCGGGCGAUCUAACCAUGGCCAGGAUGAAGCUUGGGUAAAACCAAGUGGAGGUCCGAACCGACCGAUGUUGAAAAAUCGGCGGAUGAGCUGUGGUUAGGGGUGAAAUGCCAAUCGAGCCCGGAGCUAGCUGGUUCUCCCCGAAAUGCGUUGAGGCGCAGCGGUACCAGCAAAAGCGUGGGGGUAAAGCACUGUUUCGCUGCGGGCGGCGAGAGCUGUACUAAAGCGAGACAAACUAAGAAUACCGCGUGAUAGGGUACCAGUAAGACGGUGGGGGAUAAGCUUCAUCGUCAAGAGGGAAACAGCCCAGACCACCAGCUAAGGUCCCCAAAUGGACGCUAAGUGAGAAAGGAGGUGGGAGUGCUUAGACAACCAGGAGGUUUGCCUAGAAGCAGCAAUCCUUAAAAGAGUGCGUAAUAGCUCACUGGUCAAGCGCUCCUGCGCCGAAAAUGAACGGGGCUAAGCGUCCUACCGAAGCUGUGGAAUUACUAUCGUAAUUGGUAGGGGAGCGUUCUAGAUGGGGUGAAGCACUAGCGGCAAGCAGGUGUGGACUGUCUAGAAGUGAGAAUGUCGGCUUGAGUAGCGAAAACAUUGGUGAGAAUCCAAUGCCCCGAAACCCUAAGGGUUCCUCCGCAAGGCUCGUCCGCGGAGGGUUAGUCAGGGCCUAAGGCGAGGCUGAAAAGCGUAGUCGAUGGACAACGGGUUAACAAUCCCGUACUGUUUGGUUGUUGUGAAGGGGGACGGAGAAGGCUAGACCAGCCGCAUGUUGGUUAGCGGUGCAAGUAUUCGAGGCGUUGAGGAGCGGAGAAAACGUUCCGAGCUGAGGUAUGAGUCCGAGUUCCUACGGGAACGAAGUGGUCGAUGUCAAGCUUCCCAGAAAAGCCCUAACCACGUUAAUAGCCAAAUACCUGUACCCGAAACCGACACAGGUGGGGAGGUAGAGAAUACCGAGGGGCGCGAGAUAACUCUCUCUAAGGAACUCGGCAAAAUAACCCCGUAACUUUGGGAGAAGGGGUGCCACCGCGAGGUGGUCGCAGUGAAGAGGCCCAGGCGACUGUUUACCAAAAACACAGGUCUCCGCGAAGUCGUAAGACGCAGUAUGGGGGCUGACGCCUGCCCAGUGCCGGAAGGUUAAGGAAGUUGGUCAGGGGCUUGCCCUAAAGCUGACGACUGAAGCCCCGGUGAACGGCGGCCGUAACUAUAACGGUCCUAAGGUAGCGAAAUUCCUUGUCGGGUAAGUUCCGACCCGCACGAAAGGCGUAACGAUCUGGGCACUGUCUCGGAGAGAGACUCGGCGAAAUAGGAAUGUCUGUGAAGAUACGGACUACCUGCACCUGGACAGAAAGACCCUAUGAAGCUUUACUGUAGCCUGGAAUUGGGUCCGGGCUUGGCUUGCGCAGGAUAGGUGGGAGGCGUUGAGACACUCCUUGUGGGGAGUGUGGAGCCAACGGUGAGAUACCACUCUGGCGAAGCUAGGAUUCUAACCCGUUUCCGUCAUCCGGAAAGGAGACAGUUUCAGGUGGGCAGUUUGACUGGGGCGGUCGCCUCCUAAAAGGUAACGGAGGCGCACAAAGGUUCCCUCAGCACGGUUGGAAAUCGUGCUUUGAGUGCAAAGGCAAUAAGGGAGCUUGACUGCAAGAGCGACAACUCGAGCAGGGUGGAAACACGGUCUUAGUGAUCCGACGGCGCAGCGUGGAAUGGCCGUCGCUCAACGGAUAAAAGUUACUCUAGGGAUAACAGGCUGAUCUCCCCCAAGAGUCCACAUCGACGGGGAGGUUUGGCACCUCGAUGUCGGCUCAUCGCAACCUGGGGCGGAAGUACGUCCCAAGGGUUGGGCUGUUCGCCCAUUAAAGCGGUACGUGAGCUGGGUUCAGAACGUCGUGAGACAGUUCGGUCCAUAUCCGGUGCAGGCGCAAGAGUAUUGAGAGGAGCCUUCCUUAGUACGAGAGGACCGGGAAGGACGCACCGCUGGUGUACCAGUUAUCGUGCCAACGGUAGACGCUGGGUAGCCAAGUGCGGAGUGGAUAACCGCUGAAAGCAUCUAAGUGGGAAGCCCACCUCAAGAUGAGUACUCUCAUGGAGUUAAUCCAGUAAGGUCACGGGAAGAAUACCCGUUAAUAGGUGCUAGGUGGAAGUGCAGCAAUGUAUGCAGCCGAGGCAUCCUAACAGACCGAGGGCUUGACCUU
rnacentral:rRNA from 1 species